rnacentral:rRNA from 1 species
GACGAACCGUGCGAACGUUGUUCGGAAUCACUGGGCAUAAAGGGCGCGUAGGCGGCUUGUCAAGUCAGGGGGUGAAAUCCGGCCAGCUUAACUGUCGAAGGUGCCUUUGAUACUGAUGGAGCUCGAGGGAGGUAGGGGUAUGCGGAACUUCCGGGUGGAAGCGGUGAAAUGCGUUGAUAUCGGAAGGAACGCCGGUGGCGAAAGCGGCGUACUGGACCUCUUCGUGACGACUGAGGCGGCGAAACUGAAGGGGAGCCAAACGGGG